CGCCUGGGGAGUACGGCCGCAAGGUUAAAACUCAAAUGAAUUGACGGGGGCCCGCACAAGCGGUGGAGCAUGUGGUUUAAUUCGACGCAACGCGAAGAGCCUUACCUGGCCUUGACAUCCAGAGAACUUUCCAGAGAUGGAUUGGUGCCUUCGGGAACUCUGAGACAGGUGCUGCAUGGCCGUCGUCAGCUCGUGUCGUGAGAUGUUGGGUUAAGUCCCGUAACGAGCGCAACCCCUAUCCCUGGUUGCUAGCAGGUAAUGCUGAGAACUCCAGGGAGACUGCCGGUGACAAACCGGAGGAAGGUGGGGAUGACGUCAGGUCAUCAUGGCCCUUACGGCCAGGGCUACACACGUGCUACAAUGGCGCGUACAGAGGGCUGCCAACUCGCGGGAGUGAGCCAAUCCCUUAAAACGCGUCGUAGUCCGGACCGGAGUCUGCAACUCGACUCCGUGAAGUCGGAAUCGCUAGUAAUCGCGAAUCAGAAUGUCGCGGUGAAUACGUUCCCGGGCCUUGUACACACCGCCCGUCACACCAUGGAAGUGGAUUGCACCAGAAGUAGUUAGUCUAACCUUCGGGAGGACGAUUACCACGGUGUGGUUCAUGACUGGGGUGAAGUCGUAACAAGGUAACCGUA
rnacentral:rRNA from 1 species